rnacentral:rRNA from 1 species
CGCCCAGACUCCUACGGGAGGCAGCAGUGGGGAAUAUUGCACAAUGGGGGAAACCCUGAUGCAGCGACGCCGCGUGAGCGAUGAAGUAUUUCGGUAUGUAAAGCUCUAUCAGCAGGGAAGAAGAUGACGGUACCUGACUAAGAAGCCCCGGCUAACUACGUGCCAGCAGCCGCGGUAAUACGUAGGGGGCAAGCGUUAUCCGGAUUUACUGGGUGUAAAGGGAGCGUAGACGGCGGUGCAAGCCAGAUGUGAAAGCCCGGGGCUCAACCCCGGGACUGCAUUUGGAACUGUAUGGCUGGAGUGUCGGAGAGGCGGGCGGAAUUCCUAGUGUAGCGGUGAAAUGCGUAGAUAUUAGGAGGAACACCAGUGGCGAAGGCGGCCUGCUGGACGAUGACUGACGUUGAGGCUCGAAAGCGUGGGGAGCAAACAGGAUUAGAUACCCGUGUAC